rnacentral:rRNA from 1 species
AACGAACGCUGGCGGCGUGUUUAAGACAUGCAAGUCGCACGGGAUAAGACAUGUAGCAAUACUUGUUAUAUUUAGUGGCGCACGGGUGAGUAACACGUGAACUACAUGCCCUAUAGUGGGGUAUAGCCCAGGGAAACUUGGACUAAUACCCCAUGGUAUCGAAAGACUAAAGGUGACCGCAAGGCUGUCGCCAUAGGAUUGGUUCGCGCCCUAUCAGCUUGUUGGUGAGGUAACGGCUCACCAAGGCCAUGACGGGUACCUGGUCGGAGAGGACGAUCAGGCACACUGGAACUGAGACACGGUCCAGACACCUACGGGUGGCAGCAGUCGAGAAUAAUUCACAAUGGGGGCAACCCUGAUGGUGCAACGCCGCGUGGAGGAUGACGGUCUUCGGAUUGUAAACGCCUGUCAUCUGUGAGAAAGACCUGACGGUUAACAGCCGGCAGGGUUGAUAGUACCGGAAGAGGAAGGGACGGCUAACUUCGUGCCAGCCGCCGCUGUAA